rnacentral:rRNA from 1 species
AGAACGAACGCUGGCGGCAUGCCUAAUACAUGCAAGUCGAACGAAGGCUUCGGCCUUAGUGGCGCACGGGUGCGUAACGCGUGGGAAUCUGCCCCUUGGUUCGGAAUAACAGUUGGAAACGACUGCUAAUACCGGAUGAUGACGAAAGUCCAAAGAUUUAUCGCCAAGGGAUGAGCCCGCGUAGGAUUAGCUAGUUGGUGAGGUAAAGGCUCACCAAGGCGACGAUCCUUAGCUGGUCUGAGAGGAUGAUCAGCCACACUGGGACUGAGACACGGCCCAGACUCCUACGGGAGGCAGCAGUAGGGAAUAUUGGACAAUGGGCGAAAGCCUGAUCCAGCAAUGCCGCGUGAGUGAUGAAGGCCUUAGGGUUGUAAAGCUCUUUUACCCGAGAUGAUAAUGACAGUAUCGGAAGAAUAAGCCCCGGCUAACCUCCGUGCCAGCAGCCGC